GAGGUAAUGAUUCACCAAGGCGACGAUCCGUAGCUGGUCUGAGAGGAUGAUCAGCCACACUGGGACUGAGACACGGCCCAGACUCCCACGGGAGGCAGCAGUGGGGAAUAUUGGACAAUGGGCGAAAGCCUGAUCCAGCCAUGCCGCGUGUGUGAAGAAGGUCUUCGGAUUGUAAAGCACUUUAAGUUGGGAGGAAGGGCUGUUACCUAAUACGUGACAGUUUUGACGUUACCAACAGAAUAAGCACCGGCUAACUUCGUGCCAGCAGCCGCGGUAAUACGAAGGGUGCAAGCGUUAAUCGGAAUUACUGGGCGUAAAGCGCGCGUAGGCGGUUUGAUAAGUUGGAUGUGAAAGCCCCGGGCUUAACUUGGGAGUUGCAUUCGAUACUGGUUGGCUAGAGUAUGGGAGAGGAUGGUAGAAUUCCAGGUGUAGCGGUGAAAUGCGUAGAGAUCUGGAGGAAUACCGAUGGCGAAGGCAGCCAUCUGGCCUAAUACUGACACUGAGGUGCGAAAGCAUGGGGAGCAAACAGGAUUAGAUACCCUGGUAGUCCAUGCCGUANACGAUGUCUACUAGCCGUUGGGGCCUUUGAGGCUUUAGUGGCGCAGCUAACGCGAUAAGUAGACCGCCUGGGGAGUACGGUCGCAAGACUAAAACUCAAAUGAAUUGACGGGGGCCCGCA
rnacentral:rRNA from 1 species